rnacentral:rRNA from 1 species
GACGAACGCUGGCGGCGUGCUUAACACAUGCAAGUCGAACGGAAAGGCCCUGCUUUUGUGGGGUGCUCGAGUGGCGAACGGGGGAGUAACACGUGAGUAACCUGCCCUUGACUUUGGGAUAACUUCAGGAAACUGGGGCUAAUACCGGAUAGGAGCUCCUGCUGCAUGGUGGGGGUUGGAAAGUUUCGGCGGGUGGGGAUGGACUCGCGGCUUAUCAGCUUGUUGGUGGGGUAGUGGCUUACCAAGGCUUUGACGGGUAGCCGGCCUGAGAGGGUGACCGGCCACAUUGGGACUGAGAUACGGCCCAGACUCCUACGGGAGGCAGCAGUGGGGAAUAUUGCACAAUGGGCGGAAGCCUGAUGCAGCAACGCCGCGUGCGGGAUGACGGCCUUCGGGUUGUAAACCGCUUUCGCCUGUGACGAAGCGUGAGUGACGGUAAUGGGUAAAGAAGCACCGGCUAACUACGUG